UUUUUACAGGACAUACAUUGUGUAGAAGAUGACGAGUGCCUAUCAUCAAACAUAGACUACUUUUCGGAUCAACAAUUUAAGGACACAAAAGAUGAUGACAACAUUGACUUCACACGUCGAUAGAGGUUGAGGACAUAGAAGAUGACGAGUGCCUAUCAUCGAACAUAGACUACUCUUCGGAUCAACAAUUUAAGGUUAGUAAAUUUCAUUUUUGGAUGGGAUAGGUAAAUUGAAAAAAAAUCUAAUCUAGUUUUAUUUCUUUUCUUUUUACAGGACAUAUAAGGUGAUGAGCAACUCUACACAGACAUUAACUUCACACGUCGAUAUAGAUGUUAAGGACAUAGAAGAUGAUGAGCGACUCUAACCAGACAUUGACUUCAUACGUAGAUAGAAGUUAAGGACAUAGAUGAGUGCCUACCAACGAACAUUGGCUAUUCUUUGGUUCAACAAUUUAAGGUUAGUAAAUUUCAACUUUUUUGGAGGGGAUAGGAAAAUUGAAAAAAAAAUCUUAUCUAGUUUUUUUUUUUUUUUUCAGGACAUAGAAGAUGAUGAGUGCCUCCAAUCAGACAUUGACUUCAUACGUAGAUAGAAGUUAAGAACAUAGAAGAUGAUGAUGAGUGCCUACCAACGAACAUAGACUACUCUUCGGAUCAACAAUUUAAGGUGAGUAAAAUUUAUUUUUUUGGAGGGGAUAGGAAAAUUGAGAAAAAAACUAAUCUCGUGAUAUUUCUCUUUACAGGACAUAGAAGAUGAUGAGUAACUCUACACAGACAUUGACUUCACACGUUGAUAGAAGUUGAGGUUAGUAAACUUUCUUAUUUUUUUGGAUGGUGUAGGUAAAUUGAAAAAGAUCUAAUCUGAUUCUCAUAUUUUUUACAGGACAUAGAAGAUGAUGAGUGCCUACCAUCGAACAUAGACUACUCAUCGGAUCAACAAUUUAAGGUUAGUAAAUUUUGAUUUUUGAAGAUGAUAGGAAAAUUGAAAAAAAAACCUAAUCUAGUUUUCUUUUUACAGGCCAUAGAAAAUAAUGAGUGCCUACCAUCGAAUAUAGACUGCUCUUUGGAUCAACAAUUUAAGGUUAGUAAAUUUUAUUUUUUUG
rnacentral:lncRNA from 1 species